rnacentral:rRNA from 1 species
AUGGGGGAAACCCUGAUCCAGCCAUGCCGCGUGCAGGAUGAAGGCCUUCGGGUUGUAAAGCUCUUUCGGCGGGGAAGAAAUUGCACUCGUUAAUACCGGGUGUAGAUGACGGUACCCGCAUAAGAAGCACCGGCUAACUACGUGCCAGCAGCCGCGGUAAU